GGCGAGUGGCGUGAGGGGUGUAAGGUUAUUUUUACAACUUGCAGACACUUUGCCAAAGAGUUUCCAACAUAAAGUCUGAGCGAAACUUGCUGCAGAAUCUCAUCGGUAUUUCCAGUGAGAUUCCACCACACUAAGUUGAGAGAAAAGUUCACGGCUGAGGAAUGGCUGAUCCCAACUGCUUUCUUAACUUAGCUUUAUUCUGUGGGCUUUGCCUUCUGCGAGUGUUUGCACAGGAAGAAGUCGACACGCACCCGGUGCAGGAUGUGUUUGUUGCAGAGGGGAAUGAUGUGCAGUUCCCUGCUCUGGGACCCUUGGACGGGCCCGAAGUGAACGUGGUGCUGUGCGAUGUGCACCAUGGAGCUACAAACACCAUGUUGUUAAAUUACUACCGAGGGAGUCCAGUGGAGCUGACCUCAAGGUUUGUGAAUCGCUCUGGGCUCUCCUGGCGGACGGAGUCUUUCGCCUACACGAGGUCCGCCUCAGUGACCAAGCCAUCUACAGUUUUCGAAUCAACCUGGGAGCAAGGAAGUUCUACAGGCUGCACGUGCUCACUCCAGUCUCUGCACCCAACAUACAGAGAAACGCCUCAGUCUUUCUGCCGGACGUGCAGUUGGUUUGUGCUGCCUCAGGGUCUAACCUGACACGCAGGUGGAUGAAGGAAGCUUUGCCGCUGCCCCCUGAUUGCCACUUAUCCAGCGACAACACCACCCUGCUCAUCAGGAAUGCCACUGCGACUCACAACGGGAACUUUUCCUGCUCCGUGGAAAACCGUGUCAGCUCCCGGCAAACCCAUUUCAACCUGAUCAUUGGUGAUGGGGGUCAGAACUUUGUACACACAUGGAUUUACAUUGUCACCUCUCUCCUGGUUUGGCUGUGUUCUUAGCUGUGCUGCUGUCUGGAAACUAGAAACCCUGAAGAUGCACUGAACUACAACAAUCUUCCAGAGACUUCUUGCAGUGAGGGAGACCUUCUCUACAAUUCAGUAAUUCCAACAGAUUGAUCCUUCCUUUCAGUGCAGUAGAACUGCUACACUUUAUGCAAUACCUAUAUAGAUAUCCUUUGGUACUUCCGCAGUGCAAUUUAGUGUUAUUUGUUUACUUAUUUAUUCCAAUUUGUCCAACUCAGCUCAUUGUUAUGCUUCCAAAACCUCAAUAACCAUAAAUUGAACUACUCUACUGAAUGUAAACCAUUUCACAUACCUUGGCAGCUACCCAUCAAAGAAUGUGAACAUCAAUUAUUUAAUCGAGCAUUAAUUUCUUAAUUUCAUUAUAUUUAAGUAUUUGCCCACAAAGUGUAGAGACACUAGACUUUACUUGGGACCCUUCACUGAAUUUACAUUAACCAGCCUUGGAGAAGCUACACAGUGCCACACAUGAGACAUAAAUUGUGGGAACCUAAGUGCCAAUAAGGAGCCAAUAGGGAAACUCGUCGUCCUGUUUGACCCUCAACUGUCCUUCAUCCCUCACAUAAAUGCCAUGACCUACUCCGCCUUUCCCCACCUCUGCAACUGGCUCUCACCCCAGGCCGCCGA